CAACACCUGAGCUGAGAUCAAGAGUCAGAUGUUUAACCAACUGUAUCACCCAGACCCCCCAUUGUGUACAGCUAUCCUAAGGAGGGACAAACAGGAGGACCCCAGGAUAAGGGAGCCGACAAGAGCUUCGAGCAGACUCCACAUGUAGUGUGGAGCCCGACUCUGUGUCACGACCCUGGGAUCAUCACGUGAGCCGAAAUCAAGAAUCAGACGCUCAACCUACUGAGCCACCAGAUGUCAGUGUUUUGGAAGCAUUCACAGAAACAGAGGGAACCUGCAUUCCAGCUAUCAAUGACACUGAGGACGUGUCCUUCUGUUGAAU